ACGAGGUUGAGGAUCCUCUGUUUCCCUUUUACUGGACGGACAACCCUAGACUUAUCAAAGGAACCAUAUUUGAGACCUUGAGUGAUUUCGAACAAGAUACCGUCAACUUUCUUGAUUCCUAUGCUCUCAUGGAUACCGCUGAGAUCCUUAAGUAUGAGGGUAAUAGUGACGCCUUGAAAGAGUAUUUGCGUAAGUAAUGAAUUUGUAUUUUUCUUCAUUUGUUUAAUGUUGAUCUCGCCUUAUUGCUAACUUGUGUUUCUUUGCCUCCCUUGUUUUUGUAGAGAGAAUGAGAACUAUCUCGAAUGAGGAGAGGCU
rnacentral:lncRNA from 1 species